rnacentral:piRNA from 1 species
UGGGUCACAUUCAGGAAAACUGAGUCCGAG